rnacentral:rRNA from 1 species
AUUGAACGCUGGCGGCAUGCCUUACACAUGCAAGUCGAACGGCAGCACGGGUGCUUGCACCUGGUUGCGAGUGGCGCACGGGUGAGUAAUACAUCGGAACAUGUCCUGUAGUGGGGGAUAGCCCGGCGAAAGCCGGAUUAAUACCGCAUACGAUCUACGGAUGAAAGCGGGGGACCUUCGGGCCUCGCUCUAUAGUGUUCGCCGAUGGCUGAUUAGCUAGUUGGUGGGGUAAAGGCCUACCAAGGCGACGAUCAGUAGCUGGUCUGAGAGGACGACCAGCCACACUGGGACUGAGACACGGCCCAGACUCCUACGGGAGGCAGCAGUGGGGAAUUUUGGACAAUGGGCGAAAGCCUGAUCCAGCAAUGCCGCGUGUGUGAAGAAGGCCUUCGGGUUGUAAAGCACUUUUGUCCGGAAAGAAAUCCUUGGCCCUAAUACGGUCGGGGGAUGACGGUACCGGAAGAAUAAGCACCGGCUAACUACGUG